rnacentral:misc_RNA from 1 species
UGGGCAUAAAGGUGGAAAAAGUGUAGCUUAAAAGAACAUACCUUUCAGUCCACAUGAAUAUCAUAGGGAAAAAAAUUUUUGAUAUUAGCAACCAGCACGCACCAAUUUAAGCCAAUCUUUUUCUGCGCUGUUUAACACAGAUAUAACAGUAAACAAAAAGCAUUUUUCUGCCGGCCAUUGUUUCAAUAUCAAGCAGCCUUGUGAACCAGCGGCACCGCUCUGCAAUGUGCGUCAGCC